CUGCUCUGUGUUACAUUGAUGGCGGUCACACUCGUUUGAUACUUCUGACACUGGACAAGUAUUUCCCAAACUUUAGAUCAGCAUUUCCUCCCUCACACAAGCCCUGGGAGCUGUGUAUCGACAUUAUUUGCAAAUUAACACAGGAGAAAACCAAGGCUUAUCCAUGGUCCGACCCGUGAGUGCCUCCAGUAUGGGGUGGGUGUUUAAGACUCUAGAUCUGCUGAGCUGUUUUUUCCCAAGCGAGAUCCUGAUUGGCUUUCCCGCCUCCCUUCUCUUCAGGUUCCACACUUGUGCAUUCACUCUCACGAGUCAAAAUACCGGGGGAUGGGGGUGGGGGGUGGGGAUUGCAUCUGUACUGAGCAUGCGCAGUCUUACCACCCCACGUCCACCCGGUAUUUUGUAAAUGAUUCUCUAGAAGCACUAUUCACAUUUACCUUGUAGUCCCUGUGUAAGAAUCCGGACACCGAACUGGGGGCGGGAUGGUGUGGCUCAGUGGUUAGGAGUAUGUACUGCUCCUCCGGGGGAACCAAGUUCGCUUUCUAGCACCUGUGUUGGUCAUCUCACAACUACUUAUGACCCCGACUCCAGCUCCAGAGACCUUCUCUGACCUCCGUGGGCGCUACACCCAAACUGCACAAACCCACACUCAGAGACACACACAGAUGCAUAUAAUCAAAAAUAAAAA
rnacentral:lncRNA from 1 species